AUACGGAGGGUGCAAGCGUUACUCGGAAUCACUGGGCGUAAAGCGCGCGCAGGCGGCUAUUUAAGUUGGAUGUGAAAGCCUACGGCUCAACCGUAGAACUGCAUCCAAACCUAUUCAGCUAGAGUGUGGGAGAGGAAGAUGGAAUUAGUUGUGUAGGGGUAAAAUCCGUAGAGAUAACUAGGAAUACCAAAAGCGAAGGCAAUCUUCUGGAACACUUCUGACGCUGAGGCGCGAAAGCGUGGGGAGCAAACAGGAUUAGAUACCCUAGUAGUCC
rnacentral:rRNA from 1 species